rnacentral:rRNA from 1 species
CGGCCGCGAUUCGCCCUUAGAGUUUGAUCCUGGCUCAGGAUGAACGCUAGCUACAGGCUUAACACAUGCAAGUCGAGGGGCAGCAUAAACUUAGCUUGCUAAGUUUGAUGGCGACCGGCGCACGGGUGAGUAACGCGUAUCCAACCUUCCGUACACUCAGGGAUAGCCUUUCGAAAGAAAGAUUAAUACCUGAUGGUAUGAUGAGAUUGCAUGAUAGCAUCAUUAAAGAUUUAUCGGUGUACGAUGGGGAUGCGUUCCAUUAGGUAGUAGGCGGGGUAACGGCCCACCUAGCCAACGAUGGAUAGGGGUUCUGAGAGGAAGGUCCCCCACAUUGGAACUGAGACACGGUCCAAACUCCUACGGGAGGCAGCAGUGAGGAAUAUUGGUCAAUGGACGAGAGUCUGAACCAGCCAAGUAGCGUGAAGGAUGAAGGUCCUACGGAUUGUAAACUUCUUUUAUAAGGGAAUAAACCCUCCCACGUGUGGGAGCUUGUAUGUACCUUAUGAAUAAGCAUCGGCUAACUCCGUGCCAGCAGCCGCGGUAAUACGGAGGAUGCGAGCGUUAUCCGGAUUUAUUGGGUUUAAAGGGAGCGCAGACGGGUCGUUAAGUCAGCUGUGAAAGUUUGGGGCUCAACCUUAAAAUUGCAGUUGAUACUGGCGUCCUUGAGUGCGGUUGAGGUGUGCGGAAUUCGUGGUGUAGCGGUGAAAUGCUUAGAUAUCACGAAGAACUCCGAUUGCGAAGGCAGCACACUAAUCCGUAACUGACGUUCAUGCUCGAAAGUGUGGGUAUCAAACAGGAUUAGAUACCCUGGUAGUCCACACGGUAAACGAUGGAUACUCGCUGUUGGCGAUAUACUGUCAGCGGCUUAGCGAAAGCGUUAAGUAUCCCACCUGGGGAGUACGCCGGCAACGGUGAAACUCAAAGGAAUUGACGG